AGCCUGAACGCUGGCGGCGUGGCUAAGACAUGCAAGUCGCACGGGGUCGCAAGAUCCAGUGGCGAACGGGAGAGUAAUGAAUCGCUAACGUACCCCGGACUCUGGGAUAGCUAUCCGAAAGGGUAGGUAAUACCAGAUAACAUCACUUCAGGCAUCUGGAGUGCUCAAAGGUCCGCC
rnacentral:rRNA from 1 species